rnacentral:lncRNA from 10 species
CGAAGCUGUACAGAUAUGAAGGGAUGGUCUCCAGCCAGAGGACUUCAGUCAUCUGCAUCCAUUAAAAUGUGUGUCCUGAUUGCGCUUCAUAACAAAUAUUCUCAGAAUGCCAGAGGCUAAAUGGAACUGUGCCAAGUGCUCCAUUACACCUGUGCAGCUGGCUAAGCUGCAGAACUGCUCAGCAGGAAUUCAGAUCCUUUUCAUCUGUGACUCUGUCAUUUUCAACAUGUGGCUUCAAAAGUCUGCUUCAAGCCAGUGAAAAGAAAACAAAUAUGAAGAAUAGACUUUUCCAGGCCUGGAAGUGGCACUUAUGACUUUCACUCACAUCCCAACAGCCAGAACUCAGUUAUAUGGGAAAUGUAAUCUAACUAUGUGUCCAUGAAGAACAGGACAUCCGGGAAGCAAUUAGCAGUUUUUUCUACAAUGGUAUAGCAACUGGAUCAGUGUGGAGAAUUUACAGGGCAUCAAAGAAGAACCACUCUUCUUUACCCAACAUGGUGGUGUAGGUACACUAGAAACUCUUGGUGGAGGAAUAGGUCAGACCUAUAAGUGAACAGGAAGCCAGUGGUUACAUUUAGGGGGAAAUAUUUGAAAUUCUAAUAAAGUUUUUUCAUUGUCUAAAAUAUACUGAAAGGAAUUUUCUUAAAUGAACACAUUCUUCAAUAAUACAAAGUUGGCAAAUUGGCAGGUUGGGAAGUAGGCAGUAGCAAUGUGAACCAGUUGGAACUAGACAAGAAGCCCAGACUAGAAAAACAAAGCCCAGGCAAAAAUCCAAGAAUGCCAGGGCAAUACCAGCAUGAGAAAUCAGAUAAGUGAAUAGAAACCAGGAAGCCAUAGAAAUUUUGGAGCAGAGUAAAAUUAAAGUUACAAAACCUGGAUGGGAGAGCUGGUCCUACUAUUUACAGAUGGACACAGGAGAACCCGCU